GUAGGUGGCAAGCGUUGUCCGGAAUUAUUGGGCGUAAAGCGCGCGCAGGCGGUCCUUUAAGUCUGAUGUGAAAGCCCACGGCUCAACCGUGGAGGGUCAUUGGAAACUGGGGGACUUGAGUACAGAAGAGGAAAGCGGAAUUCCAAGUGUAGCGGUGAAAUGCGUAGAGAUUUGGAGGAACACCAGUGGCGAAGGCGGCUUUUCUGGUCUGUAACUGACGCUGAGGCGCGAAAGCGUGGGGAGCAAACAGGGAUUAGAUACCCUGGUAGUCCACGCCGUAAACGAUGAGUGCUAAGUGUUAGGGGGUUUCCCGCCCCUUAGUGCUGCAGCUAACGCAUUAAGCACUCCGCCUGGGGAGUACGGCCCGCAAGGCUG
rnacentral:rRNA from 1 species